UUUUGAGUUCGCGGGAGAGUAGGUUAUUGCCAGGGUUUUUAUUUUGUACUUUAAAUCCUAAAUUUAUUUUUUAUAUUUUUAUAAUGUUCAUGUUUUUGAAUGUUUUAUUCAAAUAAUGUAAAAAAUAAAAUAGAUAUUGACAUGGAUUGAACAAAAGAUAUAUAUUAUUUUAUGUUGCAUAAACAAAUUGGCAAAAUAGAGAUGGAAGAUAAAAAUAUGGUCAAAGUAAUAAGAGUCUAUGGUGAAUGCCUAGGAGCUUUAAGGCGAAGAAGGUCGUGGUAAGCUGCGAAAAGCUUGGGGGAGAAGCAAACAUUUAUUGAUCCCAAGAUUACCGAAUGGAGUAAU
rnacentral:misc_RNA from 1 species